rnacentral:tRNA from 1 species
GGUUUGUGGCUCAGUGAUAGAGCACUUGCCUAGCACGCAUGGGGUGCUGGGUUCGAGCCUCAGCACCA